rnacentral:rRNA from 1 species
CCUACGGGGGGCAGCAGUGAGGAAUAUUGGUCAAUGGCCGGAAGGCUGAACCAGCCAAGUCGCGUGAGGGAAUAAGGCCCUAUGGGUCGUAAACCUCUUUUGUCAGGGAGCAAAGGCGUCCACGUGUGGACGAGAGGAGAGUACCUGAAGAAAAAGCAUCGGCUAACUCCGUGCCAGCAGCCGCGGUAAUACGGAGGAUGCGAGCGUUAUCCGGAUUUAUUGGGUUUAAAGGGUGCGUAGGCGGAGUGUCAAGUCAGCGGUAAAAUUUCGGGGCUCAACCCCGUCGUGCCGUUGAAACUGACGCC